rnacentral:misc_RNA from 1 species
AAAGUCGUAACAAGGUUUCCGUAGGGUAAGUUUGAAUCUGAAAAUUCCGCUUGUUGCAGUUACUAACGCAUUACAGUGAACCUGCGGAAGGAUCAUUACCGAGUUCGGGGUUUCCCCAACUCCCACCCUUGUUUACCUCGACGUUGCUUCGGCGAGACGUUGGAAGCAGCCAUCGGCAAUUUGUGACAAAUGCCCCGAUGCGUGCUCGCCGGACUCCAAAUACUCUUAGACUAUGUACAGUCAGAUGAAACAAGCAAUAUAUAAAAACUUUCAACAACGGAUCUCUUGGUUUUG